AGGAAAUAACCUUUUUUUUUUUUUUUUUCCCUAAUGCUGAAAUACCAGGACAGGCUAAUGAAAACUGGUUUUCUGACAACGCUGAGUUACGAGAUGGCAGCACCUGUUGGACUUCAGUGAAAAUAUUCUUGUGGGCUCUGGUUUGCACUUUUUCAAGCCAUGGCUGAGGGAGUGCUGAAGUGUGCAGGGAGCAGAAGGUCCAGCCCAGUGUGGAAGGGUUGGCUGGAGCCUGGUUUGGAUGUCAGUGCAAACAGUGCCACCCUGAUGGAGGCUAAACAGGGAUCCCAGAGUCACAGAGCUGCUAAGGCUGGAAAAGACCUCGGAGGUAAUCGAGUCCAAGCAUUAACCCAGCACCACUGUGCUCACCACUAAACCAUAUCCCCAGGUGCCACAUCCAUAUGCUUUUAGAACACUUCCAGGAAUAAUGAUUCCACCACUUCCCUGCUGCACCCUGAGUAGGUUUAGCUUUCUUAGUUAGCUUUUUUUUCCCUUGACUUGUUGUUUCCCUGUUUGUUUCCCUGAAAAUGGAAAAUAUCUUCAUUUUCUAAUUUUGAUAAUUCUAGAUGAAAUUGUGCAAAUGGCUCCUCAGACUUGACAAAAGACCUGUGGGGUAAUGCAGUGAAGCUUACUCUUUAACAAAAUUACCACAAAUUGUGCUAAGAGCAUCAUAGCUUCAACUAAUGUAAAAUAAGCGAAGGUUUUCUGAAAAGUAGUGCAUCCAUUUAAUGCUUAUCUGGAAAACUAAGCAUACUUAAAUGUAUAAUAAAUAAAAACAAAGAACUUUUGGCAUUGUCUCACCUUUUUCCCUUGACAUGACUUUAUUAUCUAUUAUAACCAGGAAAAAUCUUUGUAUUCCAAAGAGAAGGUGUUUUUUAAAAAUACACGUGAAUAACAUAAAUAUUACUAUGGUGCAAAUACUCAUUCAAUUAUCUUUUUAUCUUAUUUUUUAUGGUUUUGGUAUAAGUUUCUGUUUAAUAGAACUCUGAAGCUCAGGUUGCAAUUUCAUGUCAGGUUCAGUGUUAGCCCCUUUACUGGUAAAAAGAGAAAAUCAAUCUGCUUUUGCAAUGUAAAUGUAGAGACAUAGAAUUGAAUUAGUUGAUAUUUCUCAACAUCUGAGAUAACAUAAAUAGGACCAUAAUUUUCCUUGUCACUUUCAUGUAUAAGUGCAGGAGAGGUCCAGGCAGGAAUUCUUACUUAUGUAUCCCUUACAUCUUCAAAGUGCAUGAUUUGUGUGCAGUCAUAAAGAGUGGACAGCUCAUAAUUUAAUUAUUUAAUCCAUAAAAUCCAUUUAAAAAAAGAAGGAAGAAUAAAGUUAAUGCCUUGUUUACAAUGACUUUAUGAUAACUCUCAUGUACUCAUGCAUUCAUUAACAGAAAACAGGUUUCUAUAAGGGCCCAAUUGUGUUUUGUUUCAAUCAACUCUGAAAGGAUAAUAAAAAAAUAGGAAAAACAAAGAUAAACCAAAUAAUAAAAAUUAAGUAAAAAGGGUUCUGAAGCCACAUUCUUGGGCUUAAAGAAGCAUAUUCUUACUUUUUAUUGUUCCUGAGUUAAAAAUUUACUAAUGCUCUUUAAAUUUAAGAACUGUUCAGUUGAUUACACACGACUUGACUGUGUAAACUUUUGAGUUAGAAAAGGUACUUAAAGCAUAAUAAGAACUCAUUAGUAGCAUUAAAGGAAAAUAGAAAAAAGUUUGUAUUUAGUAGUCAUGACUCUAAGAAAAGAAUUGUUCCACAAACCAUCCUGGCAGAAAAAGGAGCCAGGAAAGCACAGGCCUGAAGUCAGUUGAAAUUCAGCGUCUCUGUUCCACCAGCAGGGAACCUCUGCCUCCCAGAGGGAACUUUCAUGCAGGAGGGUAAAGCUGAAUUCUCCCAGAGUAAAGGAGGAUGUGCCCCCAUCCAGUGAGGUUCAUGCUGGGCAUGAAGUGCAGGUAAAAUCAGUCUUUUUAUUGGCCUGGGCUGUCUGCUGGGCACACACAGGAAUGCAGAAUGCCAAAAGAGAAGAAAAAAAAAAUCAGCAUCUGUUUUGCCUGGUGAUAACACUCUUAUUUUAUAUCAUGCAAUAUAUAAUGUAUAUAUUUACAUUUUUCAUUAGCAAUUCAAGUGAGAAUUGGUUGUUAAAUUAGUUGCAAGUGCUGACAUAUAAGGGCAGAUGAUUUGUAUUUUCUUAGAGAUGUGUAUGUAGCAUUUUCUGAAGGAGGUGGCUUUGGUACUGUUAUGCAUGUGAACAGCCUGGAAAUUCCAAGCUUUUAUCUUUUAGAGAAAUGUAUUACUGUUAUGGGCAAAAUGGAUCUAAAUAUCACAAACUUUUAUGUAUCUGUCUGAAUCCCAGCUGAGAGGCUAGCUGUGGGGUAUCUCUAAAAUAAAAAUGUUUAAUAUUCACUUUUUGUCAUCAAACAUUUACUUUAGUGCUAUUAAGUUUUGUCUUUUUAAACCAUGAUGCACCCUUCAGUAGGAGGAUGAGGCCCUACUCUCUUAUUGUCAGCUGUGAAUGCAACUCAUUGUUAAAGUCUGUGUGAUAAAUUUAUUUCAACUUUGUCUCCUAAAGGGGUGUCAUUUUGCAUCUUUUCUGCACUGAACAUUUUCACUGAGGACCAUGUCACAAGGGAGGUAUAAAACACAAGUAUAAAAUCAGGUAUUUGGAUUACAAGGUAAAUAUUUUUGGCUGGUAUUUAUUAUUACUACUUAGCUGUAGUGAUGAAGCAAAGAGACACUGAUAAUUGCAAAUUUGAAGAGUCUCUGUUUUGAAAAGGCAUUUCUAUCAGAUAGACUGGUAGAAAAAUAUUCAUCAAUCAUUUAGGUCUGUCUCAGGAAUUUAUUAACUUUUCCAUAAGCUGUAUAUUUCUGCCUAAUUAUAUCAUGAAUAAACAGCUGCAAUAAACAGUGAGAUUCAAUCUUCUGAAUAAGCACAUAACUACAUUCUUCACUAUUUUCUGGUUUUUGACAGCUUAGCAGUUAAACUGGAUGAACAUGGAAUAUAGUACAUGAAAAUGGAUGAGAAAGAAAGUGAUAAUGUAGCAUAUUUUCUCCACUUCCUUCUGAAACAGUGUAAAGCAAUCAGUUCUAAAAACCUCUGUCCAUGUAUUAGUUAAUCAAUACAAAUGUUCAGCCUGCUCCAAGAUAUUUUAACACCUGUCAGAGCUAGCUCAGCAGUCAUUGUUCAAAGCUUACAUGGAAGCAAAAACCACAACAGAAAACCUUUCCCAUCUCCAGGGGAUUAUCUCUAGGGAGGAAAAAAGAGAGAGUGAUUCUGGUUACUAGAAACGAGGGGGGGAACAGAGCUCCAAUUCUCAGAUGAUCCAAUUAUGAUUAGAAAAACUGUGUAAAAAAAAAAAAAAGUAGAGCUUGGAGAGUGAGGAAUUUAAUCAUGAUUAUCUGCCUCUUGUGAGGCAGUGUGAAAAUCUGCCAAACCCACCUUUGCUUAGUUACCCUGAAGUGUGGGAGGGAAGGGGAAGCAAAUGCAAAAUGAUGCACCGGGGAGGCGCCGUGAUAGAGAACAACAAGGGAAAUAAUUUCCUCUCAUACUGGGAAAAAGAUUCCUUUUCAAGACCUGUGAUAUUAUUAAUGAGGUAUGAAACUCUAGCAAAGAGCUUUGGCUCUUGUGUUGCUACCACUGCUCCUUGGAGCAGUAGAAUACAGUUACAUUUGCCAUGGGGUUAACAACAGAUCCCUGACUCGUAUACACCAUUCCCCUUCCUCUUAUACACAUGUUUUAUGUCACAUAUAAAUACUUGUAUUUCAUAUUUACUGUCUAUUACAAUAAAUAUAUUAGUUGUCAGGCUUAUUUUCUCCUCUCAUUCAAAUCACAUUGGGCUCAAGCAUGACAAACAAGUGUGAUGCAUAUUUUCUGGAGGUUUAAAAACAUAUCUGAAAUCUGUCCAGCUCUGUUGUUAAAAGUGUAAGUUAAAUGUACCAAGUGAUAUUUGGCCUUCAGAAAUGGAAGUGGGGAGGGUUGCCUUGACACGGUGGACCUGAAUUAACAUACUAUACUGUUUUAUACAUGAAUGAAUAAAUAGUAUAUUAACAAACUGCUUUGUACAUAUGUAUUUCUGCCUUUAUUCAUUACUUCUAAGGAACCUGGGGAUUGUGGUCUGACUGCACACAAGGUAGGUGCAGGUACAGGUAGGUACAAGCACCACAGGCACCACCCAGGACCCUUCCCUGGGCUCUCAGGGAUGCAGGUUUCCCUCAUCCUUGUGGUCGCUCCUUCUAGGAGACUACUGCUCAUGUCUUGGUGCCUUCUGUGAAGAGGACACUUGCCUGCUACAGAAGCAAAGGGAUGUUGUAUUUAUCCUGCAUUUCUUUCACCAAGUGGAACAAGACAUGACAUUUUUCAAGCUCCUCCUCGCCGUUGCUGUUGAUUCAGCCACUUGUCCAUGGCAGUUCCUGUGCCAGCAGGCAGAGCUGGGCUGGGACAAGCAGGGACACAGUGUGUGCCCCAGCCAUAUCCAUCUGUUUGCACUGAGUGACCCAGAGUCACUUCUUCAGCUCCACCUGCAUCUAGCUGAAAUAAUGAAGUUCCCCUAUUCCCAAACCUGCCUCCUGAGACCAAUUUUUCUGUGGAACUGCCAGGGCUGGAGCAGCUCUGCCCUUGGCCUGCCCUGCUGGAUGUGACACCUCUGUCUGCAUCUUGGAUUGGGGGUAUGUUGGAUGUUGUGAAAGAAAAGGCUAAAGGAGAAAUACCAUUGCCUGCCCACUCCUGGGGAAGUUACGAAUCCAGGAGAGUGUGGACUAUGAAAGCCAUUAAUAUUCUGCAGAACCUCACCCAGGCAGCAGCAUACUUUUUUUCUGGCUAUGUGCCAGACAGGCAAUGAAGUGCUCUAAGGGCAGUGAUCCUGAUAAUGAGUUCUUCAUCACCUGUGAGGUGCUAAUCCUGAUCCUUUAGAAGGGUUUUUUUUCUUAAAUUAUUAUUAUACGUCUCUACCCAUAUAUUCAUGCCUUAGUGUGUGUAUCUGUGUCUGUGUACUCCCACCAGCAGACAGCUCCAGCAAGCCCAGCCAGGCCAGAUCAGUGCUGAGCCCAGGUGAUUGCUGGCAGUGACCCCAUGGUCCUGCUACUCGUGCAGCAUCUCUGCUUGUUAAUAGGUCUGCUCCCUUGCUUAGAGUCACUUGUUCAAGCCAUGGACAAAUUUAUGGAUCAUUAGAUUUAUGCAUAGAUUAUGUGGUGAUGAAAAGCACCCUACUGACAGUACUGAGAGCUGAUGCACAUUAUCCUGCCAUGAGCAACACAAGCAGCAACCCUGCAGGCAAUUUCUUGCAAAACUAGAGAUUUCCUUAUGGUACCUGAAGAGUUUUUUUGGUGAGGAUUAUUUUCCACACUGGUCCAGUAGGAGGUUACAUGAGUUCAGAGCUAUGGAAACCUCAAGAGUUUUCUUCCACUGCACAGCAAUGACAUGAAUUAUUUUAUGACAUUGCCAUCGGGGUCUCUUCCUUAGAUAGUGAAUUUCGCAAUCAAACUUAUAGCUAGCAAGGAAAAAAAAAAAGAAAAACCAAAAUCAGGAGAACUCUAUAAUAUCAUACUCAUUGUUUCCUAAUGAACAAUUUGAUCACUGUUUGGGAGACAAAGAGAGCAAACCAGCAUGUCUCAUUAUAGCGCUGUAUCUAUCAGUAGUAAAUAUGUAUACUGUACAGAAUGCCUCUUAUUCUAUUUUCAUAAGGCUGCAGGAGACCUAGAAAACAUAGCAGGAAGGCCAUCAGAAUGACCAUAAAAUGAAAUGGCAUCUGUUUGUAGCACGUACUAGGUGGACUGCUGUGUUGGAAAACUGAUGACUGCAGUAAGGAUCUAACAGGAGCCUACAAAAUUGUCAGCAGGUUGAGGAAGUGAAUUGUGAAUCAUCAAAUUUUCUAUAAAGCAUAGAUUUUAGAAAAUCUCUUCUUGGAGACAUAAAUUUCCCCAUGAAAAUGUUAGCCAAUUGUUUUUACCAGGAGGGGCUGUUCUUCCCAACAGGUAAUUAAAUUACAGAACUGAUUAAUAAGCUGGCAGAAAGUAAAAAAUUAAUUUAAAAAUAAAUUAAUUCAUGCCAAUAAAUAGGAUGAUGUGGCUACAAGCAUAUAUAUUUCUGAUAGAGUAUCUAUAUAUAAAAUCCUUUUAUAUAUUGAUAUAUGUGAUGUAACAUAUUUAAAUAUAUACAUUCUUUUUCAGAAUGAGGAUAUAUUCUUAGUUGUGUUGUAUUAAAACUGAUUCCAUAUCUGGGCAAAAUUAAAGCAAAAAAAUCAUUUUUAAGGUGUGGCAAAUGGAGUUUCUCUGGCACAAACUACAAAGUUGCACUUUUGCUGUUAGGAUGAUGUUUGCCUGGCUGCUCCACACUGCUCUGUAGUGUGAGGCUCUUGCUGCUUUGAUGAAAAUCUGAGAGCACCAAAUUAGAGUCUGCAUUAGUUAUGUAGGUAAAAAAAAGUGCUGAAAAUGUACAGAGAUGCCAACACAGUGUGUGCCUGCUCAUCCUUUCCCUAGAAAAAAUAUACUCAUAUAGAUCUUCAUCCUCCACAAAAUGACAGGACAGCCCCACUUGCCAGAACUAUUUUCCUGUAACUGUGCUGUGGCAUUCACACAGGCUCCUUCUGUGACAGUAAUAUGGAAGUUGUCUCCAUUGCAACUGUACACAAAAUGACAUUUUUCCCACCUAGGCAAUCGGAUUUAGCAGUUUCCUGAAACAUGCUCUCAAAAUUAUCUGUUUUAGUGGUUUUGCCCCAGAAGGAAAGGUGCUGUGAACAGCAGCUGGACUGGGCCUGCUGAGCCCUGGCACACCUGGUGAUGCUGCCCCUGUGGACCCUGCAGGAUCCAGGCUGGGUAAGGAGUCAUAGCUCAUCACCUGGGUCAUCACAGCACACAAAGUUGUUUGUUUUGGGAGCAGGUGCUCAGUAUUUCCCUCACAACCUCACUGUGCCUGUGGAAAAUGAUUAAGGUCUCAGUAUCAUAAAA